UGGGUCUAAUACCGGAUAUGACCUUCCAUCGCAUGGUGGUUGGUGGAAAGCUUUUGUGGUUUUGGAUGGACUCGCGGCCUAUCAGCUUGUUGGUGAGGUAAUGGCUUACCAAGGCGACGACAGGUAGCCGGCCUGAGAGGGUGACCGGCCACACUGGGACUGAGACACGGCCCAGACUCCUACGGGAGGCAGCAGUGGGGAAUAUUGCACAAUGGGCGCAAGCCUGAUGCAGCGACGCCGCGUGAGGGAUGACGGCCUUCGGGUUGUAAACCUCUUUCAGUAGGGAAGAAGCGUAAGUGACGGUACCUGCAGAAGAAGCGCCGGCUAACUACGUGCCAGCAGCCGCGGUAAUACGUAGGGCGCAAGCGUUAUCCGGAAUUAUUGGGCGUAAAGAGCUCGUAGGCGGUUUGUCGCGUCUGCCGUGAAAGUCCGGGGCUCAACUCCGGAUCUGCGGUGGGUACGGGCAGACUAGAGUGAUGUAGGGGAGACUGGAAUUCCUGGUGUAGCGGUGAAAUGCGCAGAUAUCACGAGGAACACCGAUGGCGA
rnacentral:rRNA from 1 species